AACAUGGAGCGCCUGAGCUGAUUAUGACAACGCGGAGGCGGAGAAGAGAGGGUCUCUCUCUCCGCCUGCUGCGUUAUUGGCUGCGCGUGCGCACUUACGCAGCUUGCUUGGCGGCUUUGUUGCUAGGCUACUGCCCGGCCCCCUUCAGUGCUGCUCUGCGGGCGGGAAAACAAAUGGGCUCAGAAUGAAGCCCUGGCACAGAGCAGUGACCUAAGAGACAUGAAUUGCAGUUGCGUUUCGUGCGCCCCACAGUGGAACAGUAAGAAGUGCUGGCUCGUUUCCAUGGGAACCAAGGAGCUGCACUUCUGAACUGUGUGGCUUUUUCACAGCAUUGAGAAAUACAGAUCAGGAGGAGAGUCCCACCUCAAGACCCAUGUAAGUGGGAAGCAAAUCUGACCUAGCAAGAGACCUUGAAGCCCCCAAGUGUUCAGCACUCCC